rnacentral:lncRNA from 1 species
AUAUGAGUUCGUACGGUGCAAAAAUACUAAAAAAGAAUCAAAAAGGAGAGAAAAAAAAUAAAGAAAAUAAUAUUUAUGCGGUUCGGCCACUGGCCUAUAUUCAAAGCGAAGACGUAGUGAAAAUUUUCAUUAUAAUCAAAGUAAUAUACAAAAUAUGACUUUCUCACAAAAUUCUAAUCCCAAAAAAUACACCCAUACUCUCUCUGAUCUACUGCAUUAAAUCAAUGGCAUAAAAAGUAUAUUUAUAAUAGUGGCUAAAUUCUAAUAUAAUUAAAAAUAUAAAUAACUAAAACUAGAAAUAUUUUAAUUAGAUUAGACAUAAUUUAAAUUUAACUUAAUAGGAUAACCAAA